UAAGGAAUAUUGGUCAAUGGACGCAAGUCUGAACCAGCCAUGCCGCGUGAAGGAUGAAGGUCCUCUGGAUUGUAAACUUCUUUUAUCUGGGACGAAAACGGGAUUUUUAUCUCAAUUGACGGUACCAGAGGAAUAAGCACCGGCUAACUCCGUGCCAGCAGCCGCGGUAAUACGGAGGGUGCGAGCGUUAUCCGGAUUUACUGGGUUUAAAGGGUGCGUAGGUGGGCUUAUAAGUCAGUGGUGAAAUCUCCGAGCUUAACUUGGAAACUGCCGUUGUUACUAUAGGUCUUGAAUUAUCUGGAGGUAAGCGGAAUAUGUCAUGUAGCGGUGAAAUGCUUAGAUAUGACAUAGAACACCAAUUGCGAAGGCAGCUUACUACAUAUAAAUUGACGCUGAGGCACGAAAGCGUGGGGAUC
rnacentral:rRNA from 1 species